CCUUUAGAAUUUAAUUUAAGGUCUAAUCUGCCCACUGAGUAAUUAAAUGGCCGCGGUAUUUUGACCGUGCGAAGGUAGCAUAAUCAUUAGUUUUUUAAUUGGAAGCUGGAAUGAAUGAUUGGAUGAGAAAAUAACUGUCUCAAAUUAAUUUAAUUAGAAAUUUAUUUUUAAGUUAAAAAGCUUAAAUAAGUUUAAAAGACGAGAAGACCCUAUAGAGUUUUAUAAUUUAUUUUAUUUAAAAUAAAUUGUUUUUAUUGAUUUAAUAAUAUAAAAUUAUUUUGUUGGGGUGACAGAAAAAUUUAAUAAACUUUUUUUUUAUUUAAAUACUAAUAAGUAAAUAAUUGAUCCAAAAUUUUUGAUUAAAAGAUUAAAUUACCUUAGGGAUAACAGCGUAAUUAUUUUUGAGAGUCCUUAUCGAAAAAAAAGAUUGCGACCUCGAUGUUGGAUUAAAAUUAAGUUUUGGUGUAGAAGCUAAAAUUUUAGGUCUGUUCGACCUUUAAAACUUU
rnacentral:rRNA from 1 species